CUUUCGCUCUAUGGUCGCUCCAGGGAGAGGGAACUACUGUGGAAGAAUCCACCGCUUUUCUUCCCAAAAAAUCCCUAAUUUUUUUGGGAGUAAAUUCUCGAUUCCAUGGAGGCAGAUAAACCCAAAUUUGGGAAAAUAGCGAGGCAAUCGAAGAAUACUCACGGUGCUCAUAUUAACAAUCUCGACGAUGGGUGUCUCAUGCUCAUUUUCAGUUUCCUCUCCCCCAUUCCAGAUCGUCAUCAUGCUGCCCUUGUGUGCCACAGGUGGCAUUUCCUGGCAUGUCACCCUCGUCUUUGGCUGCGAGUGGACCGUUCUGUAAAAGAUUUAUCAGAACCUGGAGUCUACCCUGAUAUUGAGACAGCUGUGUGUGCUGCAAGGCCUGGUGACACUGUAUUGAUUGCUGCUGGAGGUAUCCACCAGACAUCCAAUAUUCAGAUCAAAAAGCCUCUUUGCCUGAUUGGUGCAGGUGAACUUCCUGAUGACACAACACUCAUUUGUUCCCGAGAUUCGGAGAGUGCCCUGGAAUUCAUGUCCACGUGCAAACUUGCUAAUCUGACUGUGAGGGCCGAACUUGGUUGCUGCUUGCUUCACAGAAGUGGGAGGCUCACAAUCGAUGGCUGUAUUCUGCAGUGCGAGUCAAAUCCAUUGGACCAUCUCUCUCAUGCCAUUGUGACCACUGCAACCACUCCUGAUGGGAUUCCACCCCUACAAAAGAAUUGUGUUUCUGUGAUGCGAACGAGGAUCGAAGGAGGCGCCACAGCUGUGCUGACAAGAGGAACUCUUUCACUGAAGCAAGUUAGGGUCAUAUGUACCCGCACUUCCCUCUUCUUCUGGUUCAAUGUGGAUCACCAUUAACAACUAAGGUGUAUCCUAACUGAUCUUCCAUUGAGAGCCGGCGUUCCCUCAAUCAACAUAAAUCUUUUGUCGACGCAGCAUUAUAUCACAAAGGGAGAUGCACAACCACAAACAUCUGGGUUCUGCAAACUUGAGCAGAACUAAGAGGUUCAACCUUGCACACAAGUUCCAAAUCCAGAAUUGACAAAAGGUAAGACAUACAUACAUAUAUAUAUAUGAUAAUCCAUGCCCUAAUUACAGAGUUCCCGAGCGAUUCCCAGGCGUGAAUUUGCUGUAUCAAACAAGAUCCUGAGGUUCUGUUGCUGCAGGCUUGCGAUAAUAUUGAGCACCGAGUCCACAUUCCCCGGCGCAGCUGCCAUAGCGAGGCAAGCAAGCGUGCCUGAGCUGCUGUGUAUCAAACUGUUCUCCAACGGCAGCUUCAGGUCCAACCCCGUGAAGUGAAACGUAAUGAUUGGCGCAAUCUGCUCAUGUGUUACAGAGAAGCAUGUGUCGAAUGCGCCAAGCGAGCUAAAUGGACCGGCCACUUGUUUUCUGAACUCAUCCCGGAUUGCCUCGUACACGGGUUGGACGAACCGUGUUAUGACUGUCCCUGAAUCGAUGAUGGUUCCAGCUCCGGUGCUGGAGUUGAAUGAUAGCAAUUCAGGGUUAAGGACGACGUUGACCCGACCUACGCUGACCCCGGUGAGGUUCACGUAGUAUAAAGAAGAUCUGCGCGGGUUCUUGAGGAGCGGCGUGGUUUUAAUGUUCUUCGGCUGGCCAAGAGGUCCAAGUUUGAGCGAACCGGAGAAAUAGUACGACUUGAAGCUAGGCAAACAAUACGAAAACACUCCCGAGUAGAGAGGUCCGGUUUGCGAGAGGAGCGACACGGAGCCUCGACCCAAGCCGAGCAAUCCUUGCGGCGGGAUGGAGCUUCCCGAGACGGCGUUGAUGCAUCCGAACGCAUAGUUUGGAAUCGCAUCGUUACCUAACGUUAGAACGUCGUGCGAUAGCGUG